CCUUCGGGAGCUGACGAGUGGCGGACGGGUGAGUAAUGUCUGGGAAACUGCCUGAUGGAGGGGGAUAACUACUGGAAACGGUAGCUAAUACCGCAUAACGUCUACGGACCAAAGUGGGGGACCUUCGGGCCUCAUGCCAUCAGAUGUGCCCAGAUGGGAUUAGCUAGUAGGUGGGGUAACGGCUCACCUAGGCGACGAUCCCUAGCUGGUCUGAGAGGAUGACCAGCCACACUGGAACUGAGACACGGUCCAGACUCCUACGGGAGGCAGCAGUGGGGAAUAUUGGACAAUGGGCGCAAGCCUGAUGCAGCCAUGCCGCGUGUAUGAAGAAGGCCUUCGGGUUGUAAAGUACUUUCAGCGGGGAGGAGGGCGUUGUGGUUAAUAACCACAGCGAUUGACGUUACCCGCAGAAGAAGCACCGGCUAGCUCCGUGCCAGCAGCCGCGGUAAUACGGAGGGUGCAAGCGUUGAAUCGGAAUUACUGGGCGUAAAGCGCACGCAGGCGGUUGAUUAAGUCAGAUGUGAAAUCCCCGGGCUCAACCUGGGAACUGCAUUUGAAACUGGUCAGCUUGAGUCUCGUAGAGGGGGGUAGAAUUCCAGGUGUAGCGGUGAAAUGCAUAGAGAUCUGGGGGAAUACCGGUGGCGAAGGCGGCCCCCUGGACGAAGACUGACGCUCAGGUGCGAAAGCGUGGGGAGCAAACAGGAUUAGAUACCCUGGUAGUCCACGCCGUAAACGAUGUCGACUUGGAGGUUGUGCCCUUGAGGCGUGGCUUCCGGAGCUAACGCGUUAAGUCGACCGCCUGGGGAGUACGGCCGCCAAGGUUAAAAACUCAAAAUUGGAAUUUGGACCGGGGGCCCCGCCACCAAGCCGGUUGGAGCCAUGUGGUUUAAUUCGAUGCAACGCGAAGAACCUUACCUGCGCCUUGACAUCCAGGGAAUCCA
rnacentral:rRNA from 1 species